AUACUUUAAUUUCAUAUCAGAAUUUCUUAUAUGAGAGGUGCUGGUUUUCCAGCUAUGGCGAUAAACGGCGCAGUAAGUAAAUAAGACGGACCCGGGGGCGGUACCCGGCACCUCCACCAUAAAGAACCUACCUGUUUAGGGUUCUUUAUGAUGGGGGUGAAAUAGGAUCGACGUGUAUUGAACAGUGUUAGCUUUUCGCUCGGGAUGGUACCGCCGCGAUGGACCAAAUUUUUAUAAAUGCAAACGACAAUGACGUCGAGUUCGCUGUUGCAGCGUAAGCUGUUCCAGUAAACACAUUUAUCAAUUCCUGAGGAUUGACGUCUUCAGGUGGGGGUUGGUCCACCUAGCAACAGAACGGACCAUU
rnacentral:tmRNA from 1 species